rnacentral:rRNA from 1 species
UUGUGCAAAGGUAGCAUAAUCAUUAGUCUCUUAAUUGGUGACUUGUAUGAAGGAUUGGAUGAAAUAUAAGCUGUCUUAGGAAUAUUUAAUUGAAUUUAAUUUUUUAAUUAAAAAGUUAAAAUAAUUUAAAAAGACGAGAAGACCCUAUAGAGUUUUAUAUUAUGUUAAAUUAAAAUUAUUUAUAUAAUUAUUAAUAUAGAUUUGAUUUUAAUAUUUUGUUGGGGUGACAAAAAAAUAAAUAAAACUUUUUUUUAAGUUUAACAUUAAUAAGUGAAUAUUUGAUCCAAUUUUAUUGAUUAUAAGAAAAAAUUACCUUAGGGAUAACAGCGUAAUUUUUUUUUUUAGUUCUUAUAAGAAGAAAAGUUUGCGACCUCGAUGUUGGAUCAGGACA